rnacentral:rRNA from 1 species
UACGUAGGGGGCAAGCGUUGUCCGGAUUUAUUGGGCGUAAAGAGCGUGUAGGCGGCUUUGUAAGUCCGUUGUGAAAACUCGAGGCUCAACCUCGAGACGCCGGUGGAAACUGCAAAGCUAGAGUCCGGAAGAGGAGAGUGGAAUUCCUGGUGUAGCGGUGAAAUGCGCAGAUAUCAGGAAGAACACCCGUGGCGAAGGCGGCUCUCUGGGACGGUACUGACGCUGAGACGCGAAAGCGUGGGGAGCGAACAGG